UCAAACAGCCUUUAAGACCUUUGCCUCCUCUGGCUCACUGAGGUAGUAAUUAACCUGAGCCUGCAGCUCUGUAAAGAGCUCUUGACCCAGGUGACAACUGAUGGAGUUACAGCCACUGAGCUCAUCUGGGGACCCGCACCGAGUUGUUUGUCACUGGAGACUAUUGCAGAGCGAGGCUAUAAGAGAGGUUACAGCACCCGGACCAGCACCUCCAUCACAGGCUGCAGCACAUCCCUCGGUUGUGGUGCAAGGACCUGGCUUCAUCAUCAAAUGGGUUAAUGUGCAAUGUGCAACUGAAGAAAAGAGGUUUGAUGGGAGAUGAGGCCCACCAGACCUUGAUCCCGCAUGGCAGUACUGAAAUAUCAUUGCACAAAGGCAUUGCAAGCAGUGAAGGGCUGCAGCCAGCAGUGUGUUGAGACCCCGUGUUUCUGAAGGCACCCUGCAGGCUGGAGGGCAGGACGUGUGCUGGGAUGGAGCUGUGCUAUGCUACCCUUCUGCUGAAGGUCAGUAACACAUGAGUAAGUGUGCUCUUCUGAAAAUAGGCUUUAAUUUUCCCCCCUCCAACCUUUUGAUUGGUUUGACAUUUAAAAGGGCAGAAGGUAAUUGGGAGGUUUAUUAUGUAUUUCUGUUAAGUGCAAGAUGAGAACAUUUAAAUACCUCGGGUAGAAAGUGCCACAAGGAAACAGACAGCGAAGGAGACAGCAACCUUCUUCCUGCCCCAAAUAAAGAAAAGCC